UACGUAGGGUGCGAGCGUUAAUCGGAAUUACUGGGCGUAAAGCGUGCGCAGGCGGUUUCUUAAGCCAGAUGUGAAAUCCCCGGGCUUAACCUGGGAAUGGCAUUUGGAACUGGGAGACUAGAGUGUGUCAGAGGGGGGUGGAAUUCCACGUGUAGCAGUGAAAUGCGUAGAGAUGUGGAGGAACACCGAUGGCGAAGGCAGCCCCCUGGGAUAACACUGACGCUCAUGCGCGAAAGCGUGGGGAGCAAACAGG
rnacentral:rRNA from 1 species